GACGUAGGGCGCGAGCGUUGUCCGGAUUUAUUGGGCGUAAAGAGCUCGUAGGCGGCUUGUCGCGUCGACUGUGAAAACCCGCGGCUCAACUGCGGGCCUGCAGCCGAUACGGGCAGGCUAGAGUUCGGUAGGGGAGAUUGGAAUUCCUGGUGUAGCGGUGGAAUGCGCAGAUAUCAGGAGGAACACCAAUGGGCGAAGGCAGAUCUCUGGGCCGUAACUGACGCUGGAGGAGCGAAAAGCAUGGGGAGCGAACAGG
rnacentral:rRNA from 1 species